AUUGAACGCUGGCGGCAGGCCUAACACAUGCAAGUCGAACGGUAACAGGAAGAAGCUUGCUUCUUUGCUGACGAGUGGCGGACGGGUGAGUAAUGUCUGGGAAACUGCCUGAUGGAGGGGGAUAACUACUGGAAACGGUAGCUAAUACCGCAUAACGUCGCAAGACCAAAGAGGGGGACCUUCGGGCCUCUUGCCAUCGGAUGUGCCCAGAUGGGAUUAGCUAGUAGGUGGGGUAACGGCUCACCUAGGCGACGAUCCCUAGCUGGUCUGAGAGGAUGACCAGCCACACUGGAACUGAGACACGGUCCAGACUCCUACGGGAGGCAGCAGUGGGGAAUAUAGCACAAUGGGCGCAAGCCUGAUGCAGCCAUGCCGCGUGUAUGAAGAAGGCCUUCGAGUUGUAAAGUACUUUCAGCGGGGAGGAAGGGAGUAAAGUUAAUACCUUUGCUCAUUGACGUUACCCGCAGAAGAAGCACCGGCUAACUCCGUG
rnacentral:rRNA from 1 species